rnacentral:rRNA from 1 species
GACGAACGCUGGCGGCGUGCCUAAUACAUGCAAGUCGAACGCACAACAUUAGAAAGCUUGCUUUCUGAUUUAGUGAGUGGCGGACGGGUGGGUAACACGCGGGUAACCUGCCCAUUAGAGGGGGAUAACACUUGGAAACAGGUGCUAAUACCGCAUAAUUAUUUUAGCCGCAUGGCUGAGAUAUGAAAGACGCUUUCGGGUGUCACUGAUGGAUGGACCCGCGCUGCAUUAGUUAGUUGGUGAGGUAAAGGCUCACCAAGACCGUGAUGCAUAGCCGACCUGAGAGGGUGAUCGGCCACACUGGGACUGAGACACGGCCCAGACUCCUACGGGAGGCAGCAGUAGGGAAUCUUCGGCAAUGGACGAAAGUCUGACCGAGCAACGCCGCGUGAGUGAAGAAGGUUUUCGGAUCGUAAAACUCUGUUGUUAGAGAAGAACAAGUGGGAGAGUAACUGUUCCCGCCUUGACGGUAUCUAACCAGAAAGCCACGGCUAACUACGUGCC